GGUUCAAACCACUGCCUGGAGGUUGCCAAGGAACUAAUGGAACCAAAGUGCAUCAGAAUUGUGCGGUGUGUGGGUGCUGGGGUCAAGGAGAGUGAGCGGGUGCAGGUACUGGGACUACCCCACUCCACACUGCCAUCUCCUGCAUGGCCUUCUCCACCUCCGCAGUGUUUGGAAUGGUGACUUGCUGGACCAGACCCCAGCUCUGGUGGGAAAUGCAAAGCCCCUCCCCACCCCCCCCCCCCCCCCCCCACUGAUCCUAUCCCCACUGCUGCUAAAUACAUUCCAAGUCUGUCCUGUUGUUAUCAACUGACCACUCUCAUCCAACU